AAAUAGUGGGAAGACUUCUAGGU
rnacentral:piRNA from 1 species